rnacentral:rRNA from 1 species
GUGCCAGCCGCCGCGGUAAUACGUAGGUGGCGAGCGUUGUCCGGAAUUACUGGGUGUAAAGCGCGUGUAGGCGGGAGGCCAAGUCUGUGGUGAAAUCGCUCGGCUUAACUGGGCGGGGUCCAUGGAAACUGGUCACCUGGAGGUCGGUAGAGGCAAGUGGAAUUCCCGGUGUAGUGGUGAAAUGCGUAGAGAUCGGGAGGAACACCAGUGGCGAAGGCGGCUUGCUGGGCCGGACCUGACGCUGAGACGCGAAGGCGUGGGGAGCGAACGGGAUUAGAUACCCCGGUAGUCC